rnacentral:rRNA from 1 species
GCUUGCUCCCAUGGUGGCGAGCGGCGGACGGGUGAGUAAUGCAUAGGAAUCUGCCCGGUAGUGGGGGAUAACGUGGGGAAACCCACGCUAAUACCGCAUACGUCCUACGGGAGAAAGCGGGGGAUCUUCGGACUUCGCGCUAUCGGAUGAGCCUAUGUCGGAUUAGCUAGUUGGUAAGGUAAUGGCUUACCAAGGCGACGAUCCGUAGCUGGUCUGAGAGGAUGAUCAGCCACACUGGGACUGAGACACGGCCCAGACUCCUACGGGAGGCAGCAGUGGGGAAUAUUGGACAAUGGGCGAAAGCCUGAUCCAGCCAUGCCGCGUGUGUGAAGAAGGCUUUCGGGUUGUAAAGCACUUUCAGCGAGGAAGAAAGCCUGUCGGUUAAUACCCGAUAGGAACGACAUCACUCGCAGAAGAAGCACCGGCUAACUCCGUGCCAGCAGCCGCGGUAAUACGGAGGGUGCGAGCGUUAAUCGGAAUUACUGGGCGUAAAGCGCGCGUAGGUGGCUUGGCACGCCGGUUGUGAAAGCCCCGGGCUCAACCUGGGAACUGCAUCCGGAACGGCCAGGCUAGAGUGCAGGAGAGGAAGGUGGAAUUCCCGGUGUAGCGGUGAAAUGCGUAGAGAUCGGGAGGAAUACCAGUGGCGAAGGCGGCCUUCUGGACUGACACUGACACUGAGGUGCGAAAGCGUGGGUAGCAAACAGGAUUAGAUACCCUGGUAGUCCACGCCGUAAACGAUGUCGACUAGCCGUUGGGACCUUUAAGGACUUAGUGGCGCAGUUAACGCGAUAAGUCGACCGCCUGGGGAGUACGGCCGCAAGGUUAAAACUCAAAUGAAUUGACGGGGGCCCGCACAAGCGGUGGAGCAUGUGGU